AAAGUCGUAACAAGGUUUCCGUAGGUGAACCUGCGGAAGGAUCAUUAACACGUAUCCACGUAUCAAAACCCCUCUGUGCAACCUCUUCUUUGUAAGGCUUGAUCGGAGUUGUACUCAUUCGAUCUUAAUGAUGGGAGCCCCUUUUCGAGGGGCUCGGGAUCUAUGAGUGAGUAUCGCGUUUGACGAUCAGCCGCUAUUUUUCCAUCGUUAGCCCUUUACAACAUUUUAACCCCUUGUACUUUUAUGUACUGAACCAAUUCUUCGAGUUUCGGCUUCCUAGAAGCUGAGAUACGAAAGAUAUUACGAAACUAAAGAACAACUCUUAGCAACGGAUAUCUUGGUUCCC
rnacentral:misc_RNA from 1 species